rnacentral:rRNA from 1 species
UCAAACCAAAGCUGGCGACCGGCGCACGGGUGAGUAACACGUAUCCAACCUGCCUCAUACUCGGGGAUAGCCUUUCGAAAGAAAGAUUAAUAUCCGAUAGCAUAUAUUUCCCCCAUGGGUUUUAUAUUAAAGAAAUUCGGUAUGAGAUGGGGAUGCGUUCCAUUAGUUUGUUGGGGGGGUAACGGCCCACCAAGACUACGAUGGAUAGGGGUUCUGAGAGGAAGGUCCCCCACAUUGGAACUGAGACACGGUCCAA